rnacentral:rRNA from 1 species
AUACGGCUCAGUAACACGUAGUCAAUCUGCCCUAUGGACGUGGAUAACCUCGGGAAACUGAGAAUAAUCCGCGAUAGAUCAUAAUGCCUGGAACGGUUUAUGGUCCAAAUGAUUCGUCGCCAUAGGAUGGGACUGCGGCCUAUCAGCUUGUUGGUGAGGUAAUGGCCCACCAAGGCUAUUACAGGUACGGGCUCUGAGAGGAGAAGCCCGGAGAUGGGUACUGAGACACGGACCCAGGCCCUAUGGGGCGCAGCAGGCGAGAAACCUUUGCAAUGUGCGCAAGCACGACAAGGUUAAUCCGAGUGUUUCCUGCUAAAGGAAUCUUUUGUUAGUUCUAAAACCACUGAUGAAUAAGGGGUGGGCAAGUUCUGGUGUCAGCCGCCGCGGUAAAACCAGCACCUCAAGUGGUCAGGAGGAUUAUUGGGCCUAAAGCAUCCGUAGCCGGUUCUGUAAGUUUUCGGUUAAAUCCACUAGCUCAACUAAUGGGCUGCCGGAAAUACUGCANAACUAGGGAGUGGGAGAGGUAGACGGUACUCGGGAGGAAGGGGUAAAAUCCUUUGAUCUCUUGAUGACCACCUGUGGCGAAGGCGGUCUACCANAACACGUUCGACGGUGAGGGAUGAAAGCUGGGGGAGCAAACCGGAUUAGAUACCCGGGUAGUCCCAGCUGUAAACGAUGCAGACUCGGUGAUGCACUGGCUUUUGGCCAGUGCAGUGCCGCAGGGAAGCCGUUAAGUUUGCCGCCUGGGAAGUACGUACGCAAGUAUGAAACUUAAAGGAAUUGGCGGGGGAGCACCACAAGGGGUGAAGCCUGCGGUUCAAUUGGAUUCAACGCCGGGAAGGGCGAAUUCGUUUAAACCUGCAGGACUAGUCCCUU